rnacentral:rRNA from 1 species
GAUGAACGCUGGCGGCGUGCCUAAUACAUGCGAGUCGAGCGAACAGACGAGGAGCUUGCUCCUUCGACGUUAGCGGCGGACGGGUGAGUAACACGUAGGUAACCUACCUAUAAGACUGGGAUAACUUCGGGAAACCGGAGCUAAUACCGGAUAAUAUUUCGAACCGCAUGGUUCGAUAGUGAAAGAUGGCUUUGCUAUCACUUAUAGAUGGACCUGCGCCGUAUUAGCUAGUUGGUAAGGUAACGGCUUACCAAGGCAACGAUCCGUAGCCGACCUGAGAGGGUGAUCGGCCACACUGGAACUGAGACACGGUCCAGACUCCUACGGGAGGCAGCAGUAGGGAAUAUUCCGCAAUGGGCGCAAGCCUGACGGAGCAACGCCGCGUGAGUGAUGAAGGUCUUCGGGUCGUAAAACUCUGUUAUUAGGGAAGAACAACAGUGUAAGUAACUGUGCACGUCUUGACGGUACCUAAUCAGAAAGCCACGGCUAACUACGUG